GUCGUCACCCUUGCGCGCGUCCCAUCUAAAAGGGUUCUUUUAAUAGAGCUAUGUCGGUCGCCGCGUAGAGCGGCGGCUGCUUCAGGGGUCAGGUGGAGCGGUGGUGGAGGGUGGGCGGAGCACGGGAUAGCACGACGAUGUGAUGUAAAGGAGACUAUUACCACAGGUCGGACUUACCCUACAGACAAUCUAUAAGCGAACGACUGUUAUGGUACCUCAGGGGAUGCUCCAGUCUCCCAGGGAGAACGCAGCCCAAACACACUAGACUAAGGCACAUGUAAAGGACACGUGUGAGGUAGGUACCAUCAAAGUACAUAUGUAGAGACUAGCGAACAGUUUUUAGCCUUUAGCUUAUCCCUAUACUACAUAUUUGAGAAAACUAGGACAUGAUAGGUCAUCCUAAUCACAACUAAUCAAGGAGUAAAUAAAACCAAUAUGAUACGUGAAAACGGAUUUUCCACGGAUAACAAGGUAGAAUAGGUGUUUCAAGAGUUAAUUUGACAAAAAAAAACCUUUUCCUCCGAAAGGGGGCCGGAGACGUAGAUUCGCUACGUACGUCGGUAGAAUAAUUUCAAGAGUUAUUUUGACAUUUGUGGGAUUAAAAGAGCAAUUAGAAAACUCUUUGUGUCGGUUAAAAGAACCUAAAAAUCUAUCGACGUCUACCAUAACCACAGUCUGACAGUCAUUGCACACCGAAGACAAAUAUAAAGUCGUUAAUGACCUCGGGGGUUUUUUUUCUAAGCCCCUACCAACGAAGUCACACUAACGAUAAUUUAAAAUUUAUCACCCCUACGGUAAAGGUAGGUAAGUAGAGAAGGAGAUCGAACAAAGUCCAACCUACUUCUGCUUCUUGUUCCACCGGAGAAACAAACUGACUAUAUAAACCGGAGAAAACGGUUAUGUUCUUCCACUUCGUUCAGACAUCUAGUAACGUUGAUGAUAGUCUUUACCCGCUCGCGAACGCCGUCCCGUUCCUGUGGAGCUCCUGUAUGACUUUUCGGGACCGUGAUGAAGUUCAACACGUUUAGUGAAGUCGGUACACUACAUAAAUAGACGACCAACAUUUAAACAUUAUCUUACGUCUCAUCACAAGGAAAGUUUUUUCUUUCUCUCCCUCUCUAUGUCGGGAGAUAACGGGGGAAAGAACAUUGUACUUGUUAAAAGAGUAUUUACCGUCUAGCUAGUCUGACGAGGUGUAGUGUGACCUCAUUAAAGCAAAAAAAGUCACAUGUCUUUUUAACUGUCUGUCUAUACUUUCUUUUAUUUCUCG
rnacentral:rRNA from 1 species